CGUUUAUUCACACACAUAUUCACGCUACUUUGCAUAAAAAAAAAAAUAUAUAUUUUGCCGCGAAGUACGAAUGUAUUGAGCUUUCUGCACAACAGCGUCAUCUGGAUCUGGUGGGGCCUGCCCCUAAUGUAGAAACGCCACUGCCUAACUGACCUUCACAGUUGGUCGAAGUGAAAUGUGACGAACUCUUCUUAAUAGAGGAACAGACUAAAGUCUUCGUUACAACACUUGUUACAUCAACCGAUGGAAUUUAGCUUGCAAUAAUUUUCAUCGCAGAAGGCUGACCUGAAGCUUCGUUUAACCGUAAGCGCACCCGGGAAUUGUUGGCUGGAAUGGAGGAACGUAAAAAAAAAAGCGAUGGUGCCCCUCUCAGGACUGGUGCGAGACCCUUGAGGUGAAGUGAGUUUAUACCCGGGGGUGGUAGCCAGAUUUGUAGAGGUGUACGUUGCGUCCUGCACCCGGACACUUCUCACCUCGAGGACACUUCAUGGAGUACCUCCACACCCCAAGAGGGCGCCACACAAAGGCACGACUCAGAAAAAAGAGCUGUGCUGUUGGCAGAGCACCACUCACGUAGCCAGGAGAUUCUGGGGGAUAAAACCACAUACGGUCUGAUUUCAUCACCCGUCUUCUCUUGAGCUGCCCAGUGAUGUCCUUGUAGGGGAAUCAGUCUGAGGUGACUCCAUGGGAUGGUCAUGACCCCGGGAUGUGGACGGGGACUCAGGCUGCGUGUGACAGACAGCAGUGACCUCAGGCUGCCUGGGCUGCACAGCGGUGGCCUCUGACUGCAUGUGCUGGACAGCAGUGGCCUCGGGCCGCUUGUCCUUGGUAGGGUGCUUAGACUUGUGCUUGUGCCUGAUCUUGCGGCAGACAGCGGUUGCCUCGGGCUGCUUGGGCUGUACAGUGGUGGCCGUGGGCUGGACGGCAGUGGCCUCGGGCUGCUUGGACUUGUGCCUGUGCUUGGGGUGGACAGCGAUGGGCUUGGGCAGGGUGGACUCAUCUCUGGGCUGGGACUUCAGAGACUGACUGCUGGACUGCUUGACCGAAUCUGAGAAUUUACCAAAGAAAGUAGUUUGUAUUUUGAAUUAAUAAUUUAAAAAAAGUUUGAUGCUUUGAUAAGCUUUGUAUCUCACUUACCUUCCACAGACUGGCUUGCAGCUAAGAGUUCAGUCUCAUCACCUGGCCAUGACAGGUCACACUUGGGGGUGCUUGCCUGGGGUCGGGGUUGCUGGACAACAAAUGUAAUGCAAUUAUCUAGAUUUUGUAACAUACCAGUUUUUAAUUACCAAAGGCAAACAAACACAUUAAGCCAAAGAGAUAUAAACAAUCACUCAUUUCAACCAUGUUCAUUUACUGUGCUAUUCUGCUCUGAUAUCCUGAUUCAUAUACACUUACUUGCUCCUUGUCAGUGAUGUACUUCCUGAACCGCUUCAUCUGCACACUUGUGAUGUGGGUCACUGGCGUGUGCAACCACCUCCUCACAGAACUGUGUGCCCUCUGUAUAUUUUGACUCUGCUCAGCACUGUAUAGCUCUGGCCUGUUCUACUGGCUGUACAGCUCCCACAUUUCCCCAAAAGUGUGGUUUUCAAAGCCCCUCUGACCGUAAAUACAGUGGUCAACAUUGACCUCGAGGAUAACUGAGAUUUGUGGGAAGCUGUGAGCGUAUUCUGUGAGGAAAUCCUUCACCCACUGGUUCCUUAUCUCUCCCUAUCUCUCCCUUUCCCCGAGCAGUGGCCUGGCUCAGCAGCUCCAGCGGAGGCUUGGGGAACACCGUCCUCUUCUCCCGAUACUGACGGGACUCUUUUGUCGCCAUCAGUGCAGCCUGUUGCCGAUUUUCAGGGGCAUCCGGGUUGACGACGCGGAUAACUGGGCUUGCCAUCUUCAACACUUCAAAC
ensembl:lncRNA